CCGGCGGGUUUGCUCCCAGUGAGAAGUCCUCCAUCCCCGCCCACAAUGGCCAACCUCCAACAAUAGUUUUGUCAAACGUCAGGAAUGCAGGAAAACGCCAGAGACCGUUUAUUUUCCGCCAGGGUAGGUAGGGGAGAAAGCCGCUCCUUUUCCUGGGCUGGAUGGAGUCUGUCCAGCCUGCCUGCGGUUGGGCUGCACCGAGUUCCGCCGUCCCUAGGGAGGCGGCCAGGUGACCGCACCGCCCCCUCUGCUAGGCGACUGCACGCCUUUCAGAGCCCCGCUCAGCCUGUUGCCUACGGCUCAGAGAGGAGAUGCUGGUGUCUAUGACGCACAGGACCGAAACCGGGACAAACGUCACCCCACCCUUACCCGACUCCAGUACCGGGAGAUUGAGCGGGUGCUCAGUCCCGAAAGCUGGUCGUAUUGCGGUUGCGAUCGGAGGAAAAACCCUUGUAUAUAACACGCCCAUCUACGAGGAAACCCGGCGCCUCCUUCGACAACUCCUCACUCCUGCGCCAGCUGUGGUGCAGAGGGAUUCUCGGCUUGGAGAAGGGGGUCUGGGUCACCGAGGUCUCUGUCUUGGGGUUUCCGCUGCCUGGGGAGUCCGAAGGCGCCUCGGAGCCCCUUCCCAGGGCUCGGAUUCGAAGGAGGAGGGAGCCGGGUUUGAGAGAAUUUUCACUAUGAUCGCUGUCGACUCCUCCCGCCUCCAGGUGGCCCGCCUCCAGGUGGCCCGCCCUGCGAGGGCAGUGGGCUGGAGCCUGACGGCGGCCGCCCCAAUCCGGGGGUCCUGCGUGAGUCGGGGGCUGAGUGUCCGACCGUGGCGACCUCCCCCAACCCCAACUCUCCCGACACCCACCAGCUCCCCCUGCAUCUCUGGUGACACUGGCCGCAGCGGGGAGGAUGAGCCCACAGAAGCAGACAGAGGCCGGGCGGAACAGGGUUCCUUCCCGCUGGCCGGACCUCCCGUCCUUCCUCCUGGCGCAAUUCUUUCCCUUCCUCGGGCUGAGAGCCCCGGCGAGGCAGAGGGAAACCUUAGACUCGUCCCACAAAAAUGCACUCUCAUCUACCCAAUUUUGCAUUACCCUCUGGGCCGCCCUGAACCCGCUGAAGAGCCCAGUGGGGCCCGAUGCCAUCCCGGGAAGGGCCGCUCUCUCAGUACCCUACUCGGGCCAGCGCGCGGAGGUGGGUUCCGGCAGCCCUGGGCCCCUGCAGACCCUUGAUGUUUCACUCUGAUGACCUGACGGGGAAGCACUGGGCGGUGCUAACCAUGCCAACGACCAUUUAUUAGUUUACACCGAGAGUGGACUGCUGGGGGUCCACAUCUGGGAAUCCGCCCGAGGAGUGCCUCUCCUCCCUGGAGGCAAGCCCCAAGGGAGGCUGGAGCAGGCGAAGUUGCUGGAGCACGAUAAAUUCAGAGCAGAGGCGUCAGAUGACUCAAAAGUGCAGCGGCAUCUGGCUCAGACAGGCGUCCGGCGUGAUCCAGUAGAUCUGGCCUCUCCUCGCCUGCAGCAGGACGGAGGGGGAGCUGGCCCCAUACGUCUUAUCUCUAGCAAAGCCAGUGUGAACUGGCUCUGUCCAGCUCGUCUUCCUCAUUCCUGUCCUAGACUCCUGCCAGGGCUGGGCCUCACCGUAGGCAAAGUGAGUGGCUGCCUCCUCGCUUUGAAGUUGGAAAAGUUCUUUCUCCUCCCACUUUUCUCCUACCAAGCCUGCUGCAGGAUCUGAAAGUUCAGUUACUCCUCUGGAACUUUCUAGAACAAACUAGGUCAAAGCAUUUUGGUUCAUUGCUCCCUCUCUCUGGAAUGUACUUUCCCCUCUUCUCUAUGUGGUGAACAACUUCUGUGUGUUUAUCCAAAUUCUGGUGUUUUUCCAAAUCCAGCUCAUGUGUCACUUCUGCUGUGAAGCCUUCCCUGCUUGCACCAGACAGACUUAGUCACUACUUAGUUCCUACGACACUUUGUUCAUACCUCUGUUGGAGCAUGUGUCAAAAUGUAAUGACAGCUUCCGAUGGAUUGGAAUACUGUGGUAUUCCUAUGGAUACCUCUGUAAGACUGCGAUUUUCUCCAGGAAAGCUUCUUAUUUCUUUCAUGUCUUUGUAUCUGAUGUGGUGUUUGCUUCAUGAAUACAUAAAUGAAUGACUGAUCCAUCAAUAAUCACUCUCAAAGCAAUUUUAAGGAUAUCAAAUACUGUUUUAGAGAUGAGCAAAUAGGCUCAAAGAAGUGACUUGCCCCAAGUCAGCCAGCUCAUUAAAUAUUGGAGCCUGAGCUCCAGAAAGGUGAUGAGGUUGUGCCUUGUGAAGUCUCCAGACAACUGGUGAAGCCCAAAGACUUCGUGCUACUGUUGCCUUCUUUUCCCACUGCCAUCCUGGGUCCUUGAACUCUCCCCAGAACGAUCCUGCAGGUGGCAACAGAGGCCAAAGAAAGGCGCAGCGUCCUGGCCGGAGCCCAUGUCUGGGAGUGAGUAGAAGGAAGCAGAGCUCCCUGAGGGCAGGGGCAAGCUGAUUUGAAGACAUCCAGGAGAGGGAGAGCAUCAUAUGCCCCAUCAUUUGUAGCUCAGAAAUUGUUUAGACACUUUUAGCGUAAGCACUAGUCAUAAAAUUGACAUGAAGAAAGGAAAAGCAAUUAAAAUAAAAGGAUAUCAAAUAAUAAAAUGAAACUUUAUAUUUGGAUGGAAAAGCCACAUGAUCUGUCCCAAGUCACAGAGUUAGAAAGGGGCAAAGGGGAGGGCUGGCCUGGUGGUGCAGCGAUUAAGUGUGCAUGUUCCACUUCGGUAGCCUGGUGUUCACUGGUUGGGAUCCCGGGUGUGGACAUGGCACUGCUUGGCACGCCAUGCUGUGGUAGGCAUCCCACGUAUAAAGUAGAGGAAGAUGGGCACGGAUGUUAGCUCAGGGCCAGUCUUCCUCAGCAAAAAGAGGAGGAUUGGCAGCAGUUAGCUCAGGGCUAAUCUUCCUCAAAAAAAAAAAGAAAGAAAGAAAGGGGCAGAGGGGAGGGUCGAUCCCAGGGCCCACUGCCUCAUGUCACCUGCAGAGCAAGUUUCUGCCUGAUGGUUGAGCACAGAGAAGCCAGGUGUGGUACAGGUACAUUAGACAGGACCCAGAGGGUGUUUGGUCAUAGACUGAAGGCCACCUGGGGGGCAGAGCUUCUAGUUGGCUGUUGGGCUUUGUGCCCAGCUCUGCCCUAAUAAGCAUUUUUCCAAUGGCUCGCUAAAAAAGCAGAGGAAAGGUCAUCAGAUUUGCCAAGGACAGGAAACUGAGUACUUGCAAGCGCCCACGCGGAAGAGUGGGGAACUAUGUAAGUCCAAGCAGCAUGGGCCAAUGGGGACACAGAACAAGGUGACAUUUACCCUUGUGUUCAAAAUAGUGGGGCAAGGACAGCGUGGAAGAGCCAUGGCUUUCGGCUGGGGCCUUUAUGAUAACAACUCACGGUUGUGCAGUGCUUAGAAGGCAUUUUCAUUAUCUCUUUAUCCCUCAG
rnacentral:lncRNA from 1 species